CGCUUCUGGGCCGUGGGUCGUCUUCUUCCAUCACCCCCACUCCCGCAGCGUGCGCGCAAGACGACUGGGCCGGCCGCCGCUGCCGCCCUAAUUCGGCCCCUUCGCCGGCGACGAGCGCCACCAGGUGUCAGGAUUUGCAAACGGUAGACAAAGGUUCUGCUUUGCAGUAGCGUCAUGGCUGCAAAAAUACGUGUAGUGAUGAAAUCUUUUAUGAGCCAAAGCAACCAGGUCUCAGGGCUUAUUCCAUUCACAAAGAAGGUUGGACUGCCUGAAUCACGAGCCUUGUACACCGUGUUGCGAUCACCUCAUAUUGAUAAGAAGUCCAGGGAGCAAUUCUCGAUGCAUGUCAAGAAACAGUUUGUGGAACAGACCGCCAAACCACAUGAGCUUCAGAAGAAGUUCUUCUGGUUAAAACGCCUGCGUAUACCUGGGGCUCAGUAUGAAGUCCAAAUCUCUUUCAAGACACGUCUGGAUAUGGGGAGGCUAAGGUCCCAAGCUCCUUGAUGCCUCUCAGAUGGCCAGAUAUUUUUCUCAUCAUCAAGUUUGAAGUGCCGAGACUGAUUCUCAGAACUUGUAUCCAUUGGCAAUUUCGUAUGAAAACCAGUUUUUUUUUGGAAGGAUUUCGAUAAAUGUAGCUGCUAAUUAUUCAUUGCCUUCAGAAAAUGCAGCAUGUUGCCAUGACAAUGCUACAGAUUGCCUUGAUUCUCGAAACUUUGUUUUGUACUGUUUCCGAUGCAGUUUAAGCAGUCAUCAUGAUUCAAUCCUUU